rnacentral:rRNA from 1 species
UACGUAGGGUGCGAGCGUUGCCCGGAUUUAUUGGGCGUAAAGGGCGCGUAGGCGGCCACGCACGUCCGUUGUGAAAUCGCCCGGCUCAACUGGGCGGGGUCAGCGGAUACGGUGUGGCUCGAGCAAGCUAGGGGGCAAUGGAAUUCCCGGUGUAGUGGUGGAAUGCGUAGAUAUCGGGGAGGAACACCAGUGGCGAAGGCGGUUGCCUGGAGCUUUGCUGACGCUGAGGCGCGAAAAGCGUGGGGAGCGAUCCGG